UACGAAGGGUGCAAGCGUUAUUCGGAUUUACUGGGCGUAAAGGGUGUGUAGGUGGUGUGAUAAGUCUAUCGUUAAAGCUCCCGGCCUAACCGGGAAAAUGCGGUGGAAACUAUUACGCUAGAGGAUGAGAGAGAGAAGUGGAAUUCUCGGAGUAGCGGUAAAAUGCGUAGAUAUCGAGAGGAACACCGAUGGCGAAGGCAGCUUCUUGGCUCAUUCCUGACACUGAAACACGAAAGCGUGGGGAGCAAACAGG
rnacentral:rRNA from 1 species